rnacentral:rRNA from 1 species
UAAUACGUAGGUGGCAAGCGUUGUCCGGAUUUACUGGGCGUAAAGAGCGCGCAGGCGGUCGUUCAAGUCGCGUGUGAAAGCCCCCGGCUCAACUGGGGAGGGUCACGCGAUACUGAUCGACUCGAAGGCAGGAGAGGGUAGUGGAAUUCCCGGUGUAGUGGUGAAAUGCGUAGAUAUCGGGAGGAACACCAGUGGCGAAGGCGACUACCUGGCCUGUUCUUGACGCUGAGGCGCGAAAGCUAGGGGAGCAAACGGGAUUAGAUACCCCGGUAGUCCACGCCGUAAACGAUGGAUGCUAGCCGUUGGUGGGUUUACCCUUCAGUGGCGCAGCUAACGCAUUAAGCAUCCCGCCUGGGGAGUACGGUCGCAAGAUUA